GGUAUGUAUCCAGUACUAGAAACAAGACAAGACUAGAAUAGGCACCAAACUAGACAAAACUAGUAGAACCCAGAAACAGAGGAGGAUAGAAAGCAGAACCCAGAACAUGUACACAAGACAUGAGGGAAACAUGAACAGGGCAGGACAGGACUGUACAUGAACUGGGAAUACAAGACAAAAAAAAAAAAAAAAUGUUCUUAUACUCCUGGAAAUUUAAAUUAAAGCGGCACUGUCAUGCCGAAUCCCG